GCGGAUGAACUGUGGGUAGCGGAGAAAUUCCAAUCGAACCCGGAGAUAGCUGGUUCUCCCCGAAAUAGUUUUAGGACUAGCCUCAAGUUAGAUACCUGGAGGUAAAGCACUGAAUAGCCUAGCGGCCGAGAGGUUAGCGAAGCUUAUCAAACUCAGAAUGCCAGAGUAUUGAUGCUUGGGAGUCAGACAGUGUCAGAUAAAUGUCAUUGUCAAAAGGGAAACAGCCCAGAUCUACAGCUAAGGUCCCAAAGUCAGGUUAAGUGGAAAACGAUGUGAAGAUACGCAGACAACCAGGAUGUUGGCUCAGAAGCAGCCACUCAUUCAAAGAGUGCGUAAUAGCUCACUGGUCGAGCGUCUUUGCGCGGAGAAUUUAACGGGGCUAAACCUGACACCGAAGCUUAGGCAAUACAGCAAUGUAUUGGGUAGGGGAGCGUUGUAUACGCGGUGAAACAGUAGCGCAAGCGGCUGUGGAGUGUAUAGAAGUGAGAAUGCCGGAAUGAGUAGCGCGAAUGCAGUGAGAAUCUGCAUGGCCGAAAGCCUCAGGUUUCUGGAGGAAGGUUCGUCCGCUCCAGGUUAGUCGGGAGCUAAGGUGAGGCCUAACGGCGUAGCCGAUGCACAGACGGUAGAGAUUCCGUCACCACCAAAAGAGUUAAACACAGGGACACAUUUGAAGUCUCGGAGCCGGGUGUUGGUUCCGGUAGCGAUCGAGGGAAGUUAGUACCGAAGUCCGGGAUGGAAGAUGGCGAGAAAAGCUGUGUGUAUUUCUGCGGUGCCCGUACCGCAAACCGACACAGGUAGGUAGGAAGAAGAUUCUAAGGCCAACGGGAGAAGGGUUGUUAAGGAACUCGGCAAAUUGACCCCGUAACUUCGGGAGAAGGGGUGCUGCAGCGAUGCAGCCGCAGAGAAUCGGCCCAAGCAACUGUUUACCAAAAACACAGGUUUGUGCUAAAUCGAAAGAUGACGUAUACGAGCUGACGCCUGCCCGGUGCUGGAAGGUUAAGAGGAGAUGUGCAAGCAUUGAAUCGAAGCCCCAGUGAACGGCGGCCGUAACUAUAACGGUCCUAAGGUAGCGAAAUUCCUUGUCAGGUAAGUUCUGACCCGCACGAAAGGCGUAAUGAUUUGGGCACUGUCUCAACAGCCCGCCCGGCGAAAUUGUAGUACCGGUGAAGAUGCCGGUUACCCGCGACAAGACGGAAAGACCCCAUGGAGCUUUACUGUAGCCUAAUAUUGGGUUUCGAUGUUGCAUGCACAGGAUAGAUGGGACACUGGGAAACAGGAGCUUUGGCUUCUGUGGAGUGGACGUUGGGAUACCAUCCUUGCGAUAUUGGAAUUCUAACCUGCGCCUUUGGCGGUCAUGGAGUGGCCGUUGGGAUACCAUCCUUGCGAUAUUGGAAUUCUAACCUGCGCCUUUGAAUCAAGGCGGGGGACAUUGUUAGGUGGGCAGUUUGACUGGGGCGGUCGCCUCCUAAAGAGUAACGGAGGCGUUCAAAGGUUCGCUCAGCUUGAACGGAAAUCAAGCAAAAGAGUGCAAACGCAGAAGCGAGCCUAACUGCGAGACUGACGGGUCGAGCAGUAACGAAAGUUGGAGUUAGUGAUCCGGUGGUAUGUGAGUGGAAAUGCCAUCGCUCAACGGAUAAAAGUUACCCUGGGGAUAACAGGCUGAUCUCCCCCAAGAGUCCACAUCGACGGGGAGGUUUGGCACCUCGAUGUCGGCUCAUCGCAUCCUGGGGCUGUAUUCGGUCCCAAGGGUUUGGCUGUUCGCCAAUUAAAGCGG
rnacentral:rRNA from 1 species